rnacentral:lncRNA from 1 species
UAUCAAAAUAAAAAUUUUAAAGCUACCUAUAUGCCCCUCAAUAUUUCAGAAAUAUCUCAUAUAUUCUUACAUUUUUUUUGUUUCAAAUAUAUCCCUCGUAUAUUUCUCCGUUAUUCAAAAUAACUCUGUUGUUAGUACAUGUUAAGUCACCUCUAAUUAAGCCCGGGCCGUGUUUGGUUCGCUUCUCUUUCACCAUGUAAUCGGAAUUGAAAUUGAUGAAUCCAUUUGUGGGUGUUUGGUAUGCGGAAGUCCCAUUCUGAUCCAAUCAUCUCUUUUUCCAAUCCAGCCUAGGAGCCAGAUUGGAAGUUGAAUUCGGACGGAAUGGAUAUUUAUUCAGAUUAAAUUUAUUUUUUCAACUUUUUUAAUUAAAAUAUGAGUUUAAAUUUAGAAAUUAAAUUUAUAAUUUUAAAUUUUAAUUUUAAUUUGAAUUAAAAAUUAAAAUUUAAUCAAGUAUUUUGAAUCUAACUUGAAUUUGAAUUUAAAUUAAAUUUUAAUUUAUAUUCAAAUUUUAUUUAAAACUUAAAUUAAAUUUAUGAAUUCAAAUUAAAAUUUAAAUUAUAAUUUUAAGUUUGAAUUUGAAUAUAUCGAAAUUUAGUUUUAUAUUUUAAAUUAUCCACUCAACUUCAAAGUUUAAAUUUUUUAACAAAAAUAGAUUUAAAAUUUUGACAUUAUUUUAAAAUUUUGAUGUAAAUUUUUAAUAUUUAAUAUUUAAUUUGAAUUUAAAUUAAUAUAUUAUGAAGAUAAAGUUAGUAUAUUAAUUUGAUUACGUUUUUUAUAUCUACUUGAACCAAAUACGGACAAUGAGAAUGAUUUAUUCCGAUUUAGGUAACGAACCAAACAGAAUUAGGUAAUGAGUCAUUCUGAUUCCAAUUCCAGCUUAUUUCGAUUCCGAUUCUGAUUCCUAUUCCGACUUCGAACCAAACGCGCCUAAAUUUCUACAAAAGUUAAAAAGAAAUCAAAAUAUCUAUUUUUCCUUUAAUUUAAGGAUAAAUAAAAAAAAAAGGUUAAUUGCAUACACGUCCCUGCAAAUAUGAUAAAUUGCAGAUAUAUCCCUACAAAGCUCAACUUUCAUAAGUUAUCCCUGCAAAAAUCCUAAUGUAUUCAGAUAUGUCCCUCUGGUUAUCAAAAUUUUUAUUUUGCUAUCGAAACUUUCAAUUGUUUGAUUGAGUUAGUCAACGAUACUUUAAUUUUAAAAUCUAAGCUAAUUAUUUUAAUGAAUUUAUAAUUGAGAAAGUCGCAUGAGGUAUAUUAAAUCUGUAAAGAUAAACAAUAAAAUCAAAAGUUGAAGUGGAAGUGCCAUCGACUGUUUUAGAUUAAACAAAUUGAAAGAUUGUGUAGUAAAAUCAAAAUUUUAAAAAUUUGGAAAACUAAUUCAAAAUGGUCUAUAGUUCAUGUAAAUUUCCUAUCCUUUUUUUUCUU